rnacentral:rRNA from 1 species
AAUCUUCCACAAUGGGCGAAAGCCUGAUGGAGCAACGCCGCGUGAGUGAAGAAGGAUUUCGGUUCGUAAAACUCUGUUGUAAGGGAAGAACAAGUACAGUAGUAACUGGCUGUACCUUGACGGUACCUUAUUAGAAAGCCACGGCUAACUACGUGCCAGCAGCCGCGGUAAUACGUAGGUGGCAAGCGUUGUCCGGAAUUAUUGGGCGUAAAGGGCGCGCAGGUGGGUGAUUAAGUCUGAUGUGAAAGCUAACGGCUCAACCGUGGAGCGGCAUUGGAAACUGGGAGACUUGAGUGCAGAAGAGGAUAGCGGAAUUCCUAGUGUAGCGGUGAAAUGCGUAGAGAUUUGGAGGAACACCAGUGGCGAAGGCGACUAUCUGGUCUGUAACUGACACUGAGGCGCGAAAGCGUGGGGAGCAAACAGG